AUUAUCACUAUUAGAAUUAGAGUAGCUGUCUAUCGGGUUAUUGCAUUUUGCUAUAAAAUUCUUCGACCAACUUGAAAAUGAAGAAAGAAUCUUCAGAAUGGAUGUAAAGCCAGUUAUCUCUAAAGUAAAGUAGAGGUUUUCAUGAGAGAUGACAACUGCAGCUGAAGUUUUCGUGCUCCCUGAGUGUUCUCGGCAUUAGAGAUGGAAUGGUCCCAUCCAAUAGUGCAACCUGUGUCUUUCAUUCUCAAAGGAACUUCAAUUUUCAAGAUAAAAAUCUAGAAUCAUAUCCUAAAGAGGUUUAGUCUCCAGUUCAACAGCAGCUGCCGAUAAUGGUCCUGGGAACUUCCUCGCCCGUUUAGUGCGUCGAUUCGCCAAUUAUUUGUUUGGCCGAUUGCAUCGCUUUGGACUCCAACAUCACUGCAAUGAACCGAAACUAGGACGCUCUUUCGUUGCCAGGAGUGAUAAAGGAUAUCCUACGGGGUAAAAUUCCAUUAUAACUAUUUGUGGCUUCAAUGUACUUUGUUUUGGAUUUUACAGGAGAUUAAGUCUGUGUCAGUGUGGUCCUAGUUCGCCCUCGCCGCCAGUCAGUCCAGUUGAACAGAUUGCGUCGCAGCCGGGAACUUCUUUUGGCUAUUCCAUGGAAAUUGCAAAUUGUAUGGAAGAUCAUCUACACUUACUUGAGUUUUGAAGGACAUGGAGGUGGUUAAGAGAAUAAGAGUGAAGAGAAUUUGAGAUUGGAAAAUGGUUCAUUUCUUGCAGGUUGCAGCCUUUGUUGGUAAAGAUUUUUGUGCAUCAAUUUUACCUGUGGCUGUUCCUUUGUGCUGGACUGCUGGUGUCAUGUUCUGGAAGUUGCAGCCAGUAUUUUGUUCGAUUUUCAUUAUGUUCAUGCUGUUUACCAUUUACAUGUUAAGAAGAAACAAAAAUAUGGGGAGUUUUUAUGCCAAGCAAAUAAUACAGAUGCUCGCGUUGUAAAAACGACGAGAAGGUGGUUGGGAGGGGGGAGACUUGAUUUUCACAUCUUAGAAGAAUUUGGGGGUUUUCAUUCAUUUAUUAUACCGACAUAGAAUAUAGGGAUGUUAUAAGCUCCACAGCCAUACCCACCCCACCGAUAAUCAAAACCCAGUACCACAUAUAUUCUGAACUCCUUUCCCAUAACCAUACCACCUAAAAUCCAAACCAUACCUCUUAUGAUCCCAACCCAAUGUACUCCAUAAUUUCGUCAAAUAAUAAAACAUAUACAAACGUUAA